AGGGCAUCCUCCCGCAACCUUCCUCUACUGCAGAACAUCCAAGGCUCUUGAUAAGAGGAAGACAAGCUUGAAACCCUCUUUGGUGGUGUGCUGGCUGGUUUUUACAUCAACUAGACACAAGCUGGAGUCUCCAGAGAGGACAGAGCCUCAAUUGAGAAAAUACCUCCAGAAGAUCUGGCUGUAGAGAAGCCUAUAGGGCAUUUUCUUAAUCAGUCUUUGAUGGAGAAAAGCCCAGCCCAUUGUGGGUGGUACCAUCCCUGGGCUGGUGGGCCUGGGUUCUAUAAGAAAGUAGGCCGAGCAAGCCAUGAGGCAUAAACCCGCUUUGUAGCACCCCUCCGUGGGUGCAUCAGUUCCUGCCUCUAGAUUCCUGCCCUGCUUGAGUUCUUGUCCUCAUGGCUCUGGAUUAGGAACUGAUAUAUGAAACCGUGAGUGAAAUAAAACUUUCCUCUCCAA
rnacentral:lncRNA from 1 species